CCAUUGGAAACGAUGGCUAAUACCGCAUAAUAGCUUCGGCUCAAAGAGGGGGACCUUCGGGCCUCUCGCGUCAGGAUAUGCCCAGGUGGGAUUAGCUAGUUGGUGUGGUAAGGGCUCACCAAGGCGACGAUCCCUAGCUGGUCUGAGAGGAUGAUCAGCCACACUGGAACUGAGACACGGUCCAGACUCCUACGGGGAGGCAGCAGUGGGGAAUAUUGCACAAAUGGGCGCAAGCCCUGAUGCAGCCAUGCCGCGUGUAUGAAGAAGGCCUUCGGGUUGUAAAGUACUUUCAGCAGUGAGGAAGGUAGUAAGCGUUAAUAGCGCUAUUAUUUGACGUUAGCUGCAGAAGAAGCACCGGCUAACUCCGUGCCAGCAGCCGCGGUAAUACGGAGGGUGCGAGCGUUAAUCGGAAUUACUGGGCGUAAAGCGCAUGCAGGUGGAUGAUUAAGUCAGAUGUGAAAGCCCGGGGCUCAACCUCGGAAUAGCAUUUGAAACUGGUCAUCUAGAGUACUGUAGAGGGGGGUAGAAUUUCAGGUGUAGCGGUGAAAUGCGUAGAGAUCUGAAGGAAUACCGGUGGCGAAGGCGGCCCCCUGGACAGAUACUGACACUCAGAUGCGAAAGCGUGGGGAGCAAACAGGAUUAGAUACCCUGGUAGUCCACGCCGUAAACGAUGUCUACUUGGAGGUUGUGGCCUUGAGCCGUGGCUUUCGGAGCUAACGCGUUAAGUAGACCGCCUGGGGAGUACGGUCGCAAGAUUAAAACUCAAAUGAAUUGACGGGGGCCCGCACAAGCGGUGGAGCAUGUGGUUUAAUUCGAUGCAACGCGAAGAACCUUACCUACUCUUGACAUCCAGAGAACUUUCCAGAGAUGGAUUGGUGCCUUCGGGAACUAUGAGACAGGUGCUGCAUGGCUGUCGUCAGCUCGUGUUGUGAAAUGUUGGGUUAAGUCCCGCAACGAGCGCAACCCUUAUCCUUGUUUGCCAGCACUUCGGGUGGGAACUCCAGGGAGACUGCCGGUGAUAAACCGGAGGAAGGUGGGGACGACGUCAAGUCAUCAUGGCCCUUACGAGUAGGGCUACACACGUGCUACAAUGGCGCAUACAGAGGGCGGCCAACUUGCGAAAGUGAGCGAAUCCCAAAAAGUGCGUCGUAGUCCGGAUUGGAGUCUGCAACUCGACUCCAUGAAGUCGGAAUCGCUAGUAAUCGUGGAUCAGAAUGCCACGGUGAAUACGUUCCCGGGCCUUGUACACACCGCCCGUCACACCAUGGGAGUGGGCUGCAAA
rnacentral:rRNA from 1 species